rnacentral:rRNA from 1 species
ACAUCCAGAGAACUUUAGCAGAGAUGCUUUGGUGCCUUCGGGAACUCUGAGACAGGUGCUGCAUGGCUGUCGUCAGCUCGUGUUGUGAAAUGUUGGGUUAAGUCCCGNAACGAGCGCAACCCUUUAUCCUUUGUUGCCAGCGGCUCGGCCGGGAACUCAAAGGAGACUGCCGGUGAUAAACCGGAGGAAGGUGGGGAUGACGUCAAGUCAUCAUGGCCCUUACGGCCAGGGCUACACACGUGCUACAAUGGCGCAUACAAAGAGAAGCGACCUCGCGAGAGCAAGCGGACCUCAUAAAGUGCGUCGUAGUCCGGAUUGGAGUCUGCAACUCGACUCCAUGAAGUCGGAAUCGCUAGUAAUCGUAGAUCAGAAUGCUACGGUGAAUACGUUCCCGGGCCUUGUACACACCGCCCGUCACACCAUGGGAGUGGGUUGCAAAAGAAGUAGGUAGCUUAACCUUCGGGAGGGCGCUUACCACUUUGUGAUUCAUGACUGGGGUGAAGUCGUAACAAGGUAAGCGUACGUGU